rnacentral:lncRNA from 1 species
AAAAUUUUGGGGGCUUAAAGCUCAUCCAAGCUAUGGGUUGCUUUACAACCUAUAGGGUUGCCAUAAUUCCCAAAAAUAGGAAAAGAAAUUGUUUAGGCAAAUAAAAUAUUGCAAAUAAAUCCCAGAAACAUUUUGGGAAGAUAAAAAGGUUUUGGAGUGGUUGGUGGCAAGAAAUCAAGGGUUGAGGAUCCCUCUUGGUUGAAGUGGUUUGAAAAACCCAUCAACUUGCCCCUGAAACUCUAAAAUAUUUUGAAAAGAAAAAGUUUGAAAAAUCAGGGUGUUACACAGUGCCUGCACUUGCAUAUCCUCCCAUGUAUCGUCGUCAACCUUGGCCGGCUUCGUCUCCUGCAAACCCUUCAAGAUUCUCUGUUGCGCCAGAAGAUCCUUGACUCUUGUCUACCAUAAACCGAAGUUACUCGUGCCAUCGAAUUUCUCCACCUCAAAUUUGAUGAACCCGGCGUCAUGCCGAGCCGCAAUCUAACCGACAUGUUGCCGUCGGUCUGACCGCCCUUACUUGCCUCUGCGACUUCCUCACGAAAAAGAUCACCGAUCCCAAAUUCCUCGUCUGAAGCCACGCUGCAAUAUGCAAUCUAUCAAGAAAUCUGACCCACACCGUCUUUGUCCGUCCUUCAGAAAAUUUGCGUGAAGCCUGUCGCCGUAGCCGAAUCGCUUCACCCUUUUUUUCCUUGAACUUGCAGACAAUGUUUCGUUGUGCUUGUUCGCCUCGUUGCCCCAGCUUUUAUUACAGCUGAAUCACCUGGCUUCCGGCCGCUGACCGAAACCGAGUCCUAAUUGUCCACG